rnacentral:rRNA from 1 species
UGUAGUCAUAUGCUUGUCUCAAAGAUUAAGCCAUGCAUGUCUAAGUAUAAGCAAUUAUACAGCGAAACUGCGAAUGGCUCAUUAAAUCAGUUAUCGUUUAUUUGAUAGUACCUUACUACAUGGAUAACCGUGGUAAUUCUAGAGCUAAUACAUGCUAAAAACCCCAACUUCGGAAGGGGUGUAUUUAUUAGAUUAAAAACCAAUGCCCUUCGGGGCUCCCUGGUGAUUCAUAAUAACUUCUCGAAUCGCACGGCCUUGCGCCGGCGAUGGUUCAUUCAAAUUUCUGCCCUAUCAACUUUCGACGGCAGGGUCUUGGCCUGCCAUGGUGACAACGGGUAACGGAGGGUUAGGGCUCGACCCCGGAGAAGGAGCCUGAGAAACGGCUACUACAUCCAAGGAAGGCAGCAGGCGCGCAAAUUACCCAAUCCCGACUCGGGGAGGUAGUGACAAUAAAUACUGAUACAGGGCUCUUUUGGGUCUUGUAAUUGGAAUGAGUACAAUUUAAAUCCAUUAACGAGGAACAAUUGGAGGGCAAGUCUGGUAAUCG